UGUGAGCUCGAUGAGUAGGGCGGGACACGUGGUAUCCUGUCUGAAUAUGGGGGGACCAUCCUCCAAGGCUAAAUACUCCUGACUGACCGAUAGUGAACCAGUACCGUGAGGGAAAGGCGAAAAGAACCCCGGCGAGGGGAGUGAAAAAGAACCUGAAACCGUGUACGUACAAGCAGUGGGAGCACAGAGCAAUCUGUGUGACUGCGUACCUUUUGUAUAAUGGGUCAGCGACUUAUAUUCUGUAGCAAGGUUAACCGAAUAGGGGAGCCGAAGGGAAACCGAGUCUUAACUGGGCGUUAAGUUGCAGGGUAUAGACCCGAAACCCGGUGAUCUAGCCAUGGGCAGGUUGAAGGUUGGGUAACACUAACUGGAGGACCGAACCGACUAAUGUUGAAAAAUUAGCGGAUGACUUGUGGCUGGGGGUGAAAGGCCAAUCAAACCGGGAGAUAGCUGGUUCUCCCCGAAAGCUAUUUAGGUAGCGCCUCGUGAAUUCAUCUCCGGGGGUAGAGCACUGUUUCGGCAAGGGGGUCAUCCCGACUUACCAACCCGAUGCAAACUGCGAAUACCGGAGAAUGUUAUCACGGGAGACACACGGCGGGUGCUAACGUCCGUCGUGAAGAGGGAAACAACCCAGACCGCCAGCUAAGGUCCCAAAGUCAUGGUUAAGUGGGAAACGAUGUGGGAAGGCCCAGACAGCCAGGAUGUUGGCUUAGAAGCAGCCAUCAUUUAAAGAAAGCGUAAUAGCUCACUGGUCGAGUCGGCCUGCGCGGAAGAUGUAACGGGGCUAAACCAUGCACCGAAGCUGCGGCAGCGACGCUUAUGCGUUGUUGGGUAGGGGAGCGUUCUGUAAGCCUGCGAAGGUGUGCUGUGAGGCAUGCUGGAGGUAUCAGAAGUGCGAAUGCUGACAUAAGUAACGAUAAAGCGGGUGAAAAGCCCGCUCGCCGGAAGACCAAGGGUUCCUGUCCAACGUUAAUCGGGGCAGGGUGAGUCGACCCCUAAGGCGAGGCCGAAAGGCGUAGUCGAUGGGAAACAGGUUAAUAUUCCUGUACUUGGUGUUACUGCGAAGGGGGGACGGAGAAGGCUAUGUUGGCCGGGCGACGGUUGUCCCGGUUUAAGCGUGUAGGCUGGUUUUCCAGGCAAAUCCGGAAAACUAAGGCUGAGGCGUGAUGACGAGGCACUACGGUGCUGAAGCAACAAAUGCCCUGCUUCCAGGAAAAGCCUCUAAGCAUCAGGUAACAUCAAAUCGUACCCCAAACCGACACAGGUGGUCAGGUAGAGAAUACCAAGGCGCUUGAGAGAACUCGGGUGAAGGAACUAGGCAAAAUGGUGCCGUAACUUCGGGAGAAGGCACGCUGAUAUGUAGGUGAAGCGACUUGCUCGUGGAGCUGAAAUCAGUCGAAGAUACCAGCUGGCUGCAACUGUUUAUUAAAAACACAGCACUGUGCAAACACGAAAGUGGACGUAUACGGUGUGACGCCUGCCCGGUGCCGGAAGGUUAAUUGAUGGGGUCAGCGCAAGCGAAGCUCUUGAUCGAAGCCCCGGUAAACGGCGGCCGUAACUAUAACGGUCCUAAGGUAGCGAAAUUCCUUGUCGGGUAAGUUCCGACCUGCACGAAUGGCGUAAUGAUGGCCAGGCUGUCUCCACCCGAGACUCAGUGAAAUUGAACUCGCUGUGAAGAUGCAGUGUACCCGCGGCAAGACGGAAAGACCCCGUGAACCUUUACUAUAGCUUGACACUGAACAUUGAGCCUUGAUGUGUAGGAUAGGUGGGAGGCUUUGAAGUGUGGACGCCAGUCUGCAUGGAGCCGACCUUGAAAUACCACCCUUUAAUGUUUGAUGUUCUAACGUUGACCCGUGAUCCGGGUUGCGGACAGUGUCUGGUGGGUAGUUUGACUGGGGCGGUCUCCUCCUAAAGAGUAACGGAGGAGCACGAAGGUUGGCUAAUCCUGGUCGGACAUCAGGAGGUUAGUGCAAUGGCAUAAGCCAGCUUGACUGCGAGCGUGACGGCGCGAGCAGGUGCGAAAGCAGGUCAUAGUGAUCCGGUGGUUCUGAAUGGAAGGGCCAUCGCUCAACGGAUAAAAGGUACUCCGGGGAUAACAGGCUGAUACCGCCCAAGAGUUCAUAUCGACGGCGGUGUUUGGCACCUCGAUGUCGGCUCAUCACAUCCUGGGGCUGAAGUAGGUCCCAAGGGUAUGGCUGUUCGCCAUUUAAAGUGGUACGCGAGCUGGGUUUAGAACGUCGUGAGACAGUUCGGUCCCUAUCUGCCGUGGGCGCUGGAGAACUGAGGGGGGCUGCUCCUAGUACGAGAGGACCGGAGUGGACGCAUCACUGGUGUUCGGGUUGUCAUGCCAAUGGCACUGCCCGGUAGCUAAAUGCGGAAGAGAUAAGUGCUGAAAGCAUCUAAGCACGAAACUUGCCCCGAGAUGAGUUCUCCCUGACUCCUUGAGAGUCCUGAAGGAACGUUGAAGACGACGACGUUGAUAGGCCGGGUGUGUAAGCGCAGCGAUGCGUUGAGCUAACCGGUACUAAUGAACCGUGAGGCUUAACCUUACAACGCCGAAGCUGUU
rnacentral:rRNA from 1 species